rnacentral:rRNA from 1 species
CAGUAGCCGCGGUAACACGAAGGGUGCAAGCGUUAAUCGGAAUUACUGGGCGUAAAGCGUGCGUAGGCGGUGAGUUAAGUCUGCUGUGAAAUCCCCGGGCUCAACCUGGGAAUGGCAGUGGAUACUGGCUCGCUAGAGUGUGUCAGAGGAUGGUGGAAUUCCCGGUGUAGCGGUGAAAUGCGUAGAGAUCGGGAGGAACAUCAGUGGCGAAGGCGGCCAUCUGGGACAACACUGACGCUGAGGCACGAAAGCGUGGGGAGCAAACAGGAUUAGAUACCCGCGUAGUCCCUGUCUCUUAUAA